GUCUCUUUUAUUAUUUUUUAUGGCAUCUUAAAACAUAUACUUCCAUUUAGAACUAGGUUUACAGUGCAGAGCUUUUUUUCCCGCUGCCUUUAAACGCCUCACAGCUCCCGGUGACCCUGGUUAAUCAAUGUGACCUGUGUUCCAGGCUCAGUGCUGCCUUCACUGACCUCUCUGUGUGACCUGUGUUCCAGGCUCAGUGCUGCCUUCACUGACCUCUCUGGUGACCUGUGUUCCAGCUCCGUGCUGCCUUCACUGACCUCUCUGUGUGACCUGUGUUCCAGGCUCAGUGCUGCCUUCACUGACCUCUCUGUGUGACCUGUGUUCCAGGCUCAGUGCUGCCUUCAUGACCUCUCUGUGUGACCUGUGUUCCAGGCUCCGUGCUGCCUUCACUGACCUCUCUGUGUGACCUGUGUUCCAGGCUCAGUGCUGCCUUCACUGACCUCUCUGUGUGACCUGUGUUCCAGGCUCCGUGCUGCUUCACUGACUCCUCUCUGUGUGUGUAAUUCCAGGCUCUGCGGCGCUCUGUGGUGGUGGAGAUGGUCGGUAAUGUCAAAGCUCUGCUCAGUGAGACGGAGCUGCUGCUGUCGGGAAACAUGUCUCUGCAGUUGGAGGCGUCUCAUCAGGACCCAGCUCUCCUCGGCGAUGGGCUCGCUCUCCGCUCAGGUGCGGAGGCUGUCGGACGUGUCCUGGCUCUGCCCGUCAUCGACCCGUCAGACUCAGAGGUAACCACGGUAACGUUUGGAUAUUGUUGUUGUGGUGGGACUUGCCUGACGCUGUCCUGUGCUGUCCUCCAGGGGCGCUGUCGGACUUCUCCAAACGCGGCCGCAGCGCCAAGUUCCGCCUCGUGCCCAAGUUCAAGAAGGACAAGAACAACAAGAACCGAGAGACGAGCGCCAGCCUCUCCCAGCCAGUGCACCUGUGGGGGACGGAGGAGGUGGGGGCGUGGCUGGAGGCGCUGUGUCUGUCGGAGUAUAAGGACAUCUUCAGCGGCCACGACGUCAGGGGGGCGGAGCUACUGUCGCUGGAGCGCCGCGACCUCAGGUAAUUAUGACCUCAUUAUGACCUCGAGGUAUUUCCAUUUUUCAUUUACAGAUUUGACGCCGUUUAUGACGAUCAC
rnacentral:lncRNA from 1 species